CUGGCGGCGUGCCUAAUACAUGCAAGUGGAACGCAUGAUGAUACCGUAGCUUGCUACACCAUUAAUCAUGAGCGCGAACGGGUGAGUAACGCGUAGGUAACCUGCCUACUAGCGGGGGAUAACUAUUGGAAACGAUAGCUAAUACCGCAUAAGAGUUUUUAACACAUGUUAGAAAUUUAAAAGGAGCAAAUGCUUCACUAGUAGACGGACCUGCGUUGUAUUAGCUAGUUGGUAAGGUAACGGCUUACCAAGGCGACGAUACAUAGCCGACCUGAGAGGGUGAUCGGCCACACUGGGACUGAGACACGGCCCAGACUCCUACGGGAGGCAGCAGUAGGGAAUCUUCGGCAAUGGGGGGAACCCUGACCGAGCAACGCCGCGUGAGUGGAAAAGAAGGUUUUCGGAUCGUAAAGCUCUGUUGUAAGAGAAGAACGUUGAGUAGAGUGGAAAGUUACUCAAGUGACGGUAUCUUACCAGAAAGGGACGGCUAACUACGUGCCAGCAGCUGC
rnacentral:rRNA from 1 species